rnacentral:lncRNA from 1 species
GCAGCCAAGGCUGUGUCUCUGGUGCUGCCUCAACUCAAAGGAAAGCUCAAUGGAAUUGCCCUCCGUGUGCCAACACCUAAUGUAUCAGUGGUUGACCUUGUGAUUAAUGUUGAGAAGAAAGGUAUUUCAGCAGAAGAUGUCAAUGCAGCCUUCAGAAAGGCAGCCGAGGGACCACUGCAGGGCAUAUUAGCAGUGUGUGACAUUCCUCUUGUGUCGGUAGACUUCAGGUGCACCGAUGUUUCCUCCACCAUAGACUCCUCCUUGACCAUGGUCAUGGGUGAUGAUAUGGUCAAGGUGGUUGCCUGGUACGACAACGAAUGGGGAUACAG